GCACACAGGAGGCUGAGGCAGGUGGAUCGCCAGGAGUUCCAAGGCCAGCCUGAUCUACAGAGUAAGUAUCAAGACAGUCAGGGAUAUACAGAAAAAUCCUGUCUCAAAAAACAAACAACAAACAAACAAAAAGGAAGGGGCUAGAGAGAAAGCUUAAUAAGAAUAUAUAGGGGGCUUGAGUGGUUACUGUUUAUAAUGAGCAUGGUUUAAAAAAAUGCCUUUUAGACAUGUAAAAAUAGCUUAGUCAGGAUCUCCACUACACGCAAGGCACACCCGAUAACCAGAACUCAGUGAUAUCACUCACUCAAGAUAACCAGACACAGUUCUUGAAUACCAUGAUGCCCACUGGACAGUAUUUAAGCAAGGACAAGAACCAUGCUCUGCUCUGCACAUCUGGAGAGAUGCCACCUUGAUCUGCUCCCCCCAGGAUCCGGACCCUCAAAUCAGAGACUUCCAUUAGAGACUGGACCUAAUUUUCAGCUAAGAUAUGUCACAGGUGAGCAGCCUUGAGAAGAUAGGCUAAGGACCAAAGUUAGUAAUUU
rnacentral:lncRNA from 1 species